CGCUAAGUCUAAUGGUUGUACGUAUUGAAAGGGUGGUGAUUUAUCUGGGGACACCUACUGAUACUGGCCUAUAUAGCAGAUUAUUUACAAGCUCCAUUUGCUUUUGAUGAAGCUAACAGUUCAGCUAAUCUCUACUCUCUAGCUUGGUGCCCACUGCUCCUCAAAUAAUCUAUUUCAGCAUUUUAGGUAUCUGAUGCAACAUGUGCCCCCUUCAGUUAAUUUGAUUAUGAUGCAGCCCAAUUCAAGUUUUUAUGACAGUCAUCAAAAAUAUUCUUCAGAGUUUUUGUAGCAACCUGGAAUGUAGGGGGAAACCUCCCCAUGGUGGCCUUAAUCUGGACAAUUUUCUUCAGGUUAAUAAUCCAUCAGACAUAUAUGUCUUGGGCUAAUUUCGAUAAGAUUACACAAGGUAGUUUUCGGGCUGUUUACUAUGCCGAGCUGACAAACGAGGUUUGUUUCUUUUACUAUUUUUUAUUUUACUUGCUGAGUUUUUUUUCUUAUCGUAUGUUUCUGGGUUUCGAUGGGUACAUUUGUUUUCCACCUACUCUUGAUAUAUAAUUGUGCAUACCUGCUAUGAGUGUCAAGAGCAAAAUAUUUAUCUCAAAUAUAUUGCAUGUAUAUCAACAAUGGAAACUUGGAGCAGUGACUUCAUGCAAGUAUUCGUCACCAUAGAUAUCUCACUUUGCCUUUGAUGCCAAGGUGUUGUUCUUAUUUAACAAGAUAUACUUUUUGCAGUCUUGCUUAGUUACACAACGCCAUUGAACCAAAGUUGAUACAUCGAGACAUUAAGCGGAGGCUUCUUCUUGGCCACUAAGCACUUUGUAAAGUAAUAUACCAUUUAGGGAUGAGAGACCAAUUACUGACAUUGUUUUGCCAAAUCAAGUCUGCCUGAUAAGAAAAUUGAAUUCAAGAGGGGAGUUGCCUCCAGGUGAGGUACUGCUAAUGCCGCUGGAUGCAACUGUUGGAUAGCAAAACAAGAAGCUGAGUGUCCAGAGGGAUACAUAUUGGAUCAUAGAACAAUUUGUGGUGAUGGACAUCAAAUCAGAUGAUAUGGAAGUACUUUGUAGCGCAGUUCAAUUGCGAACAGUUUUCAUCUCUUCACAAAAAUACUAUUGGUAUUUUAUCAAUUUGAUCAAUAAUAAAGUCAUUUUUAAUUAUAUCUUUCAUUAUUG